UCAGCAGGGAAAGAAGACCCUGUUGAGCUUGACUCUAGUCUGGCACGGUGAAGAGACAUGAGAGGUGUAGAAUAAGUGGGAGGCCCCCCGGCAGGCCCUUCCUCCCCCCCCCCCCCCCCGUGAGGGGUCGGGCUGGGGUCUGCCGGCCUCAUGGGCCGCUGGUGAAAUACCAAUACUCUCAUCAUUUUUUCACUGACCCGGAGGUGUCAGAAAGAUUACCACAGGGAUAACUGGCUUGUGGCAGUCAAGCAUUCAUAGCGACAUCGCUUUUUGAUCCUUCGAUGUCGGCUCUUCCUAUCAUUGUGAAGCAGAAUUCACCAAGCGUUGGAUUGUUCACCCACUAAUAGGGAAUGUGAGCUGGGUUUAAACCGUCGUGAGACAGGCCUGGAAACAUCUUUCUGA
rnacentral:ncRNA from 1 species